GUUGAAGAAGCUUAUUAGGAGUUGGCUGUUCACUUUUUCUGCCUGUUUUCCUGGUCUACUGUGAAGAUCCUGUUAUUUGGCUGUGAGCAUCCUGGUGGUCCAGCCUGCAGCCUGGUGGACUCUGCCCCCCUCCCGCCGUAUCUAAAUAAGCCCGUGCAGCUGACGUGUGACGAGUGAACGGAAGAGUCCAAGAUCCUUCACGCAUGCGUGAAAAUGAACAAUGCUGCACUGUAGGCGUGAAGGAGAGCUGCGCUGCAACUCAACAACGUUUGGUGUUCCUCUGAAUACAGAUUAUCAUCAGUGUCAGCCCUGAGAGGAAGACGAUGAUGAAAGGAAUAGAGAAAACAUACAGCAGCACAGCGGUGAAGGAGAUCCAACCUGUGGUGGAGGUUUUACAGAUGCUUCCUGAUUAAUAAAUGAUGAUUUAA